rnacentral:misc_RNA from 1 species
GAUGAAGAACGUAGCGAAAUGCGAUAAGUAAUGUGAAUUGCAGAAUUCAGUGAAUCAUCGAAUCUUUGAACGCACCUUGCGCUCCUUGGUAUUCUGAGGAGCAUGCCUGUUUGAGUGUCAUUUAAUUCUCAAACUUUACCUAGUUUGCAAAAACUAGAUCAGGUUUGAAGUCUGGAAGUUGCUGGCUUUUUUUUAAGCUAGCUCUUCUAAAAUAUAUUAGCAGAAUUAUUGCUACUCAAUAUGGUAUGAUAAUUAUCUAUACCGUUGAAAGUAAGCUUUCUGAUUUUGCUUCUAAUUGUCUACCAAGACAACCUUGAUACCUUUGACCUCAAAUCAGGUAGGACUACCCGCUGAACUUAAGCAUAUCAAUAAGCGGAGGA